rnacentral:misc_RNA from 2 species
AACGCACAUUGCGCCCUCUGGUAUUCCGGGGGGCAUGCCUGUUCGAGCGUCAUUACAACCCUCAAGCUAUGCUUGGUAUUGGGCGUCACCUCCGGGUGCGCUCCAAAGUCAGUGGCGGUGCCGUUCGGCUUCAAGCGUAGUAAUCAUCUUUCGCUCUGGAGUCCGACUGGUGUCCUGCCAGCAAACCCCAAUUUUAUCAAGGUUGACCUCGGAUCAGGUAGGGAUACCCGCUGAACUUAA